rnacentral:rRNA from 1 species
CCGAUCUCGAAAACCUGUCCCAGUUCGGACUGGAGUCUGCAACCCGACUCCACGAAGUUGGAUUCGCUAGUAAUCGCGCAUCAGCCAUGGCGCGGUGAAUACGUUCCCGGGCCUUGUACACACCGCCCGUCAAGCCAUGGGAGCCGGGGGCGCCUGAAGUCCGGGACCGCGAGGACCGGCCUAAGGCGAAACUGGUGACUGGGCUAAGUCGUAACAAGGUAAC